rnacentral:rRNA from 1 species
UAAGGAAUAUUGGUCAAUGGACGCAAGUCUGAACCAGCCAUGCCGCGUGGAGGAUUAAGGCCCUCUGGGUUGUAAACUCCUUUUAUCUGGGAAGAAAUGUACUUUUUCUUGAGUACUUGACGGUACCAGAGGAAUAAGCACCGGCUAACUCCGUGCCAGCAGCCGCGGUAAUACGGAGGGUGCAAGCGUUAUCCGGAUUCACUGGGUUUAAAGGGUGCGUAGGUGGGCAGGUAAGUCAGUGGUGAAAUCUCCGGGCUUAACCCGGAAACUUCCGUUGAUACUAUUUGUCUUGAAUAUUGUGGAGGUAAGCGGAAUAUGUCAUGUCGCGGUGAAAUGCUUAGAUAUGACAUAGAACACCAAUUGCGAAGGCAGCUUACUACACAAUCAUUGACGCUGAGGCACGAAAGCGUGGGGAUCAAACA